rnacentral:rRNA from 1 species
AGCGAACGCUGGCGGCAGGCUUAACACAUGCAAGUCGAGCGGGCAUCCUUGUGGUGUCAGCGGCAGACGGGUGAGUAACGCGUGGGAACGUGCCCUUCGGUUCGGAAUAACUCAGGGAAACUUGAGCUAAUACCGGAUACGUGCGAGAGCAGAAAGGUUUAUCUGCCGAAGGAUCGGCCCGCGUCUGAUUAGCUAGUUGGUGAGGUUAUGGCUCACCAAGGCGACGAUCAGUAGCUGGUCUGAGAGGAUGAUCAGCCACACUGGGACUGAGACACGGCCCAGACUCCUGCGGGAGGCAGCAGUGGGGAAUAUUGGACAAUGGGGGCAACCCUGAUCCAGCCAUGCCGCGUGAGUGAUGACGGCCUUAGGGUUGUAAAGCUCUUUUCUCCGGGACGAUAAUGACGGUACCGGAGGAAUAAGCCCCGGCUAACUUCGUG